CGUGUAGGCGGCUCAGCAAGUCAGGUGUGAAAGCCCUCGGCUUAACCGAGGAAGUGCGCCUGAAACUAUUGAGCUUGAGUACCGGAGAGGGCGGCGGAAUUCCCGGUGUAGAGGUGAAAUUCGUAGAUAUCGGGAGGAACACCAGCGGCGAAGGCGGCCGCCUGGACGGUCACUGACGCUGAGACGCGAAAGCGUGGGGAGCAAACA
rnacentral:rRNA from 1 species